rnacentral:other from 1 species
UUUUCCCUGCCGUGUACGAUACGGCGUGCGAAACAUUGAGCCUAAUAUUUGAACCGGGGGCCCAACAUUUGUUGUAGCUAACGGUAUGCGCGUUCAGUGCGAACCGGCCGCUACCGUGAGGGCACCCACCUAAUGGGUUGGUUCAAAUUGUUUCGCUGCCACCGGCAAUGUGCGGGGAAACU